UCCGUCCCAGGGACCGGGAUCGGCUCCACGCUGGGAGGCGAACGGGGCUGUCUCCGUGUUCUGCCCCUGGGUUGUCGUGUAGGGGAAAGCUGCCUCCUGCUCGGGUUGACAGACGCGGCAACAUCAAACACCGGUGACCAAACUGGUGAACAGAAUAAACCGCAGAGAAACCUCCCUCCACCUCAGCACCUGUCACUGGACCUCCCUUAACAGAGCGACUGAGGCUGCAAUACACACGCGGGCUUUUAGAUUCGCCUUGUUUUUUCAAACACCUGAGCUACAGCCCACACGUCGGCCCGGCAGCGCUGUGACACCGAUUCACUGGAGGGCAUAUUCCCUAACCUGGGGGGGGGCAUGGUGAGGGGACCACGGCACUUCCCAGGAGGUUUCAAACCCCAGGCUCCUCCACAGUGUCCUUUCACGUGAACCGCUCUUUCUGUAGAUGCAAGCGAGCUAAUUAAUGAUUUACAGUGUUAUGAAGAAAACCAUCAGCAUCCAGACUACAAAUGACAACAGGGGAACAAAGAGCUCACAUUCUAUUGAGGAUCCUUCAGGAAGCUGUAAGUCUGAGUGCUGACACAGUUAAUGUGUUGUUAUGAGUACCUCUUCUGAAAGUGAAAGGCAGAGCUUUCAUAACAGUAUGAAGUUUCCUAAUUCUUUUGCCUGAGCUCCAGAGUUACAUGUGCUAAAAAAAUCUUGUCAAUUGCAAGGUACACGUUAUAUACAAAUGAAUAAAAAUACAGUCCUAAUUCACAUUUAUAAAA